UACGGAGGGAGCUAGCGUUGUUCGGAAUUACUGGGCGUAAAGCGCACGUAGGCGGCUUUGUAAGUUAGAGGUGAAAGCCCGGGGCUCAACCCCGGAAUUGCCUUUAAGACUGCAUCGCUUGAAUCCAGGAGAGGUGAGUGGAAUUCCGAGUGUAGAGGUGAAAUUCGUAGAUAUUCGGAAGAACACCAGUGGCGAAGGCGGCUCACUGGACUGGUAUUGACGCUGAGACGGCGAAAGCGUGGGGAGCGAACAGG
rnacentral:rRNA from 1 species